UUAAUAGAAACCAAAUAGAGGUAUUCCACUGUUAAUGGAAAAAUUGAAUUAUCUUUCCUAUUAAG
rnacentral:tRNA from 1 species